UCGGACUGGUUUCUUGUCUUCCUAUCUUGC
rnacentral:piRNA from 1 species